AUGAUUGAUGAAGCAUCCAUAAAGAAUGGAGAGUCUGAGAUGUAUAAUCUGUUUCUUUUGACUUCCACUUCUUUCAUACUCUUUAUAACCUCUUGAAACUAGUUGUUGAGUGACUGAUUUUGAGCUUCAUUAGAUAGUCUUUGCAGAUCACAUAAGACUUUAUCUACUCUUUCUCUUAGAUCAGUCCACUUGUCUUCAUAAUUCACAGAGUGAACUGGAUUGUUUCUAGCCUUGACAAGUUUUGACAGAUCCUCAAAAAUAUUUUCUCAUACCUCUUUUAAUACAAUAAAAUCUAAUAGCAGGGUAGGAGGUGGUGAAACAUGGCUAGUUUGAGGUGCAGGGAUAAAAACUUGAUCUAGGAUAGGCUGAUUUGUAGAUGAAGAGGGUGUAUCAAGUGUUGAUUGAGAUGAGAUGUUUGGAUUUCUAUCAGUAAUGAAUUUAGGCAUAUCUUCAUCAGAAGAGUCCAGUGAACCACAUAUGGUCCAACCUGGCUGAUGAGAUGUUCCUGAAUCAAUAGAUGCUUGGCUAGUAGAGGCUGAGGCAGGUGUAGAUUGAAUAGAAGGUCCAAGAAUGAAAUAUUUGUUGGCUAAGUUAUCAAGUGCAGUACCUAAUGAGUUCAAGGGUUGAGUUGCACUGAUAAGUUGAACUACUUGAGCCUAGUCAUCAGAUACUGAAGCAUAAGCAUCAUACAUCGAUUGAUCAGUUGAU
rnacentral:lncRNA from 1 species